rnacentral:rRNA from 1 species
AACCUACCUUUUACAGGAGGAGAGCGCAGAGAAAUUUGGAUUAAUACUCCAUAGUACUAAUGAAUCACCUGGUUUAUUAGUUAAAACUCCGGUGGUAAAAGAUGGGCAUGCGUGUCAUUAGCUAGUUGGUAAGGUAACGGCUUACCAAGGCGAAGAUGACUAGGGGUUCUGAGAGGAAGAUCCCCCACACUGGUACUGAGACACGGACCAGACUCCUACGGGAGGCAGCAGUGAGGAAUAUUCGGUCAAUGGGUGAGAGCCUGAACCAGCCAUGCCGCGUGAAGGAAGACUGCCCUAUGGGUUGUAAACUUCUUUUCUGCAGGAAGAAAUCACUCUACUUGUAGGGUGUUGCCGGUACUGCAGGAAUAAGCAUCGGCUAACUCCGUGCCAGCAGCCGCGGUAAUACGGAGGAUGCAAGCGUUAUCCGGAUUUAUUGGGUUUAAAGGGUGCGUAGGCGGGCUUGUAAGUCAGUGGUGAAAUGCUGUGGCUUAACCAUAGAAUUGCCAUUGAAACUGCAAGUCUUGAGUACAGUUGAGGUGGGCGGAAUGAGUAAUGUAGCGGUGAAAUGCAUAGAUCUUACUCAGAACUCCGAUUGCGUAGGCAGCUUGCUAAACUGUAACUGACGCUGACGCACGAAAGCGUGGGGAGCGAACAGGAUUAGAUACCCUGGUAGUCCACGCUGUAAACGAUGAGCACUGGUUGUUGGCAAUACACCGUCAGCGACUGAGCGAAAGUAUUAAGUGCUCCACCUGGGGAGUACGUCGGCAACGAUGAAACUCAUAAGGAAUUGACGGGGGCCCGCACAAGCGGAGGAACAUGUGGUUUAAUUCGAUGAUACGCGAGGAACCUUACCUGGGCUUAAAUGUAGAGUGCAUUGCUUGGAAACAGGCAUUUUCUUCGGAACUCUUUACAAGGUGCUGCAUGGUUGUCGUCAGCUCGUGCCGUGAGGUGUCGGGUUAAGUCCCAUAACGAGCGCAACCCCUAUUGUUAGUUACCAGCACGUAAUGGUGGGGACUCUAGCAAGACUGCCGGUCUCAACCGUGAGGAAGGUGGGGAUGACGUCAAAUCAGCACGGCCCUUAUGUCCAGGGCUACACACGUGUUACAAUGGCAAGUACAAAGAGCAGCCACCUGACGACAGGGCGCUAAUCUCANAAGCUUGCCUCAGUUCGGAUCGAAGUCUGCAACUCGACUUCGUGAAGUAUGGAUUCGCCAGUAAUCGCGCAUCACCCAUGGCGCGGUGAUACGUUCCCGGGCCUGUACACACCGCCCGUCAAGCCAU